CUUUUGUCUUGGGAAGAAUAUUUUAAUGGACCUUUUGGAUCUGCAAAGCCAAAACAAAAAACAAACCCAAACCCUAUCUUAGAGUGGAAGAAUACAGGCCCAUCGAGGAGGUAACCACACUAUAUAAUAAGGAUCUACCAGGAGGUGUUAAGGUGGGAGAGAGCAGAAAACACUGGCAUGCAGAAGUUCUUCUCUGCUCAGCACAUAAGAAGGAAGAAGCUGCUGCAGCCCAAACUGUCCCAACAGGCUGAAUGCUGUGAACCAGGUUUGCGACAAGAACACAUCAAAACUGGCUGGCAGGAUCAAGGACACCCAAGUCAAGGGAAUAGGAAGGAAGUUUAGAAGGGGGCCCACCAACCCCAAGUACCUUCAAAAGGAACUGCUACGUGGUAAAUCCCAAGUGGUCCCUCGAGGCUUGCUUCUUCAUGGAAGAAGGUUGCAUUGAGUCCUGCCACUUCAAAGGUCAGCCCCUCCGGGAUGCCAUGAGCCACCGAGACAUUGACCAGUAGGUCUUGUCCAAGCUCCAAGUGGUCAGAACCCAAGGAGGCCUGUAGCCCUGACAGAGGCUCCAUGAAGUAGACUGUGAUGUUUCUGGAAGGUGCAGCGGUGGUGGUGUUGCUGGUGGCUCGGAUCUCCAGGUGGUGUAUCCCUGGGCCCAUCCGUUGUUGGGCUGCUCUGUCCAGGGUCAGAUUGUAGGGUAGCAAGCCCCUCGGCGUGGUGAACUCAGCCAGGGUUGUGUUACCCAACAGCACAGUGUAAGUUACCCCUGUUCCUAUGUGUGGCAAGAAAUAUUUGAGAAUGUUGGCAACAACCAUGCCAUAGAUUGUACCGAGAUAGUCAAGACUCAAGCUCUGAGGUCAGAUUUUUGGAUGUAGAUAGGGACAUGGUAUUGCCAUAAAGACAUAUGGAAGGAUAAGAUCCAACCCCAAGUAUUAACAGUGAUUAUCUCUGA